rnacentral:rRNA from 1 species
AUUGAACGCUGGCGGCAUGCCUUACACAUGCAAGUCGAACGGUAACAGGUCUUCGGAUGCUGACGAGUGGCGAACGGGUGAGUAAUACAUCGGAACGUGCCCGAUCGUGGGGGAUAACUACUCGCAAGAGUAGCUAAUACCGCAUACGAUCUACGGAUGAAAGCGGGGGAUCUUCGGACCUCGUGUGGCAGGAGCGGCUGAUGGCAGAUGAGGUAGUUGGUGGGAUAAAAGCUUACCAAGCCGACGAUCUGGAGCUGGUCUGAGCGGUCGACCGGCCGCACUGGUACUGAGACACGGACCAGACUCCUACGGGAGCCAGCAGGGGGGAAUUUUGGACAAUGGGCGAAAGCCUGAUCCAGCAAUGCCGCGUGCAGGAUGAAGUCCUUCGGGUUGUAAACUGCUUUUGUACGGAACGAAAAGACUCCUUCUAAUACAGGGGGUCCAUGACGGUACCGUAAGAAUAAGCACCGGCUAACUACGUGCCAGCAGCCGCCGUAA